UCCCUAACCCCUCAAACGCGUACUGCGACUGUUCUUCAUCUUCUCCCAAAAAACACAUGUAUCCAGCCCUAAUACUGUCCAAAUUCGAGCGAUUGAACCUCAAAUCUCUCCUCAUGCGUUCCACUUUCUCUCCUCUUACCACAGAUUUCUGUUUUUGACGCUAAGAAUCCCUCUCCUCUCACUCGCUCAUUUUUAAGGCCUAUCUCACGAUUGGAUGUUUCUGGAGACGAAAUGCUGGAUGAGUGUGAGGUAUUGGAUUGAUCUUAUUCAAUACGAGCCCCACAUUCAUCAAGGAUUGGUCUUCAUAAGAAGAUUUAUCCAAUUUUAUGGGAGGGGGGUUCUCGAAAAAUUCAGAUAAAAAAUGGGUGGUAAGGUUUCCGGAACUGCUAGUUUUCGGGGUUUGUUUUUCUUCUUUGACAAGUUCUUUUCAAAAGUUUAAAGGAAACAUAUACACAAUUUUAUUUUUUAUUUUGAAGUUCGAGCUUGAUUUUCUACUGCCAUCUUGCUAGUUGUUGCUGAACCUCAUUAGCAUUUAGAGUCGAAAGGUGCGUUGUUGAAUCUGUAAUUAUUAAAGGAAGUUUAAAAUGUUAGGUUAAAUUUCUUUUCUCUUCUAUAUUUCUGGUUGAGGUGGCUUGAACUGUGAAAUUUUGUUCAAUGGUAUUCUAUUCUGUGAUUUAAUUUUUGGUGAUGAAUUUCUGGUAUGACGUGAUUUGAGUACAUCCAGCUAGUAGAAGCUGAGUCAGAAGGGUCGUCCUUUGUGCUUUUACAUUAAUUGCUAUCAUGAUGUCGAGUUUUCAUUUAAGACAAGAUUUUGAGUUAAUUUUUUGAGUUUGAAGGUCUAAUGAAAUGGUUCUGGUGUGGAAAUUUGACAACCUAUUCAAGGAUUGGAUGCCUGCUUGAGUUGCAGCAUCGCUGAACUUUGUCAGCCCUUUCUCUGCUGAUUUGAGUUUGUAAUUUGCUGUGUCUAGGUCACUAUAGGAUUUAUG
rnacentral:lncRNA from 1 species